CGGCGCCGUGGAGAAGAACCAUGUCCGGGUGCUUCGCGUGCACCUUAUCGAGCGUAUCCCAGAUCCGUUGAUGAUCGUUGCAGUUAGCGCCGCC
rnacentral:tRNA from 1 species